rnacentral:rRNA from 1 species
UGGGGGAUAUUGCACAAUGGGCGAAAGCCUGAUGCAGCGACGCCGCGUGGGGGAUGAAGGCCUUCGGGUUGUAAACUUCUUUUGCUCUGAGCAAGGCAUGCUAAUGGGUGUGUUGAGUGUAGGGGUUGAUUAGCGCCGGCUAACUACGUGCCAGCAGCCGCGGUAAUACGUAGGGCGCGAGCGUUGUCCGGAAUUAUUGGGCGUAAAGGGCUUGUAGGUGGCUGGUUGCGUCUGUCGUGAAAGCUCAUGGCUUAACUGUGGGUUUGCGGUGGGUACGGGCUGGCUUGAGUGCAGUAGGGGAGGCUGGAAUUCCUGGUGUAGCGGUGGAAUGCGCAGAUAUCAGGAGGAAUACCGGUGGCGAAGGCGGGUCUCUGGGCUGUUACUGACACUGAGGAGCGAAAGCAUGGGGAGCGAACAGG